GCCUAGGUGCUAUGCAAAGCAUCGCUUGCGAACUCAGCCAGAUCCGGAAGGAAGCAACUGCAACAAGAUGAUGUUUGUGCCGUAGUUAACCUAGGCAUU
rnacentral:SRP_RNA from 1 species